AUCGCACAUCCACUGACAAUAAUGGCAACAGACUUACAUGUGGCUUUACCUGUAUACUACUGUGGGGAUUGGAGGAAUUUUCACUAUUGUUGCAGUCAUAUCUGUUUUAUUCAUACGAGGAUGCAACAGUGAAACAAAGAAAAAAGCUCGAAGAGAAAACCAGAAUGACAACAUAUAUGGAUGGAUGGAGGGAGACAGACACAAAAACGGUCCAGGGGAGGAGUGGACUACUGUUGUCUACACAGUUUUGAACCAUCAGCGCCUGGAAAAUGCUAGCAACUGCAUCUAUCGGUCCAGAGCGGUAGUGAAGGAAAGGUCUGAGUAGGCUGCCAUCAAGGUCUGCUAUUAUAUUACUGAGUGACUGUUUUAACUUUUUAAAGAACCUCUAGCAAAAUUCAAAACAGUACUGUAAAAUCCCAGAAAAUAUUAAAUAUAUGGCAACAAAUAUUGAUACGAUUGAUAUAACGAUUGUUUUUCACCCAUUUUGAUUGAAUGUGAUAAUGAACCUUUUAGCCUAUACUGAUGCAGCUUUUUUUUUUCUUUUUUCUAAAGUAGUUAUGAAAUCAUUAGACAUUUAUUGAAAGUGCAGUUGAAUAUCUUGAUAUGUAUUUGUCCAGUUCUGAUUGUUUGCAUUCUUCUGUUGGCAUUUAUUUUCAUUCAUUAUUAAUAAAUGUGAUAAAAACAUAUUUGGUACAAUAAA